GCCGCAGACUUCUCCACUUCACGUACGUCACGAUAAAGUGUGACUUGGGAGGACAGUCCGGUUCUGAAAGGUAACUGGUCUGAUUUGGGGGAGAUAUGCUUGGUGUCAGCAAUCUGCAGAUAUGGACACGGUUCCAGCGUUCUCCUUAAGCCAUGAUGAGUUGCUUUAUUUAUAGCUGCAUGGUCAGUGAGUUCUUCAUGGCCUCCAGUUUUAACUUGCUUCGUCAGCAGUCAUAAACUCCACUUUCUCUCCCGGAUGUUUGGAAGGACACCGUCCAUGGAGUUAGCUUCAGGUUUCUGUGACUCUUUCUGUACCAUGGUGCCCCCGUGGAAGGCUCCAAGGUCAAGAGGUGAUAACAUUCUCCUAGGUGAGCUUUGAGAUCUACCACCCUGCAGACUUCAGAUCAGCACAAACAGACUCUGUGUUAGAUUAGGGAAGGAAUGAAGCUCUCCAGGACCGAUGUGGGGGCCCCUGCUCUGAAGAUCCGAGGUACCAUGUCUGGAGGAGGUAGCAUGCAUUAAAAUGAAUCUUCUCUUGGAUAUAUUCUUCCAUAUAUUCUAAAAUGGCUAUUCUGUUUGUCACUCAAGAUAUUUGGGACCUGGCUAAAAGAGGUUCUGUAUUUCAAUAUAUAGAAAAACGUUUAUUAAAGGAAUAUUAAAGGAAUUUGUAUUACAGGAAAUAUGGUGUAUAUAUGUUAUCUAUUCAACUCAUUUUGAAACUCCACGCAGUUCAUUGGUUGUGUGCUGCUUAAAUGGAGGGUUUUAUGAGGGCAGAAGUUAUA